GAUGAACGCUGGCGGCGUGCCUAAUACAUGCAAGUCGAGCGAACGGACGAGAAGCUUGCUUUUCUGAUGUUAGCGGCGGACGGGUGAGUAACACGUGGAUAACCUACCUAUAAGACUGGGAUAACUUCGGGAAACCGGAGCUAAUACCGGAUAAUAUUUUGAACCGCAUUGUUCAAAAGUGAAAGACGGUCUUGCUGUCACUUAUAGAUGGAUCCGCGCUGCAUUAGCUAGUUGGUAAGGUAACGGCUUACCAAGGCAACGAUGCAUAGCCGACCUGAGAGGGUGAUCGGCCACACUGGAACUGAGACACGGUCCAGACUCCUACGGGAGGCAGCAGUCGGGAAUCUUCCGCAAUGGGCGAAAGCCUGACGGAGCAACGCCGCGUGAGUGAUGAAGGUCUUCGGAUCGUAAAACUCUGUUAUUAGGGAAGAACAUAUGUGUAAGUAACUGUGCACAUCUUGACGGUACCUAAUCAGAAAGCCACGGCUAACUACGUG
rnacentral:rRNA from 1 species